AUGGUGUUGCAAGGUUGGGUACAGCGAGGCUGGCACUGCGGUCCAGUGUGGGAGCCUCCCUUGGGUGGCGGCUACCGGGAGCUCUCUGCGACCCAGGCCCCGCGGCUGCUUGGACACAGGUUUAACUUGUUUCUUCAGCAAAAAUGUGGAUUUAGAAAAGCACCCAGGAAGGUUGAACCUCGAAGAUCAGACCCAGGGUCAAGUGGAGAAGCAUAUAAGAGAAGUGCCUUGAUCCCACCUCUGGAAGAAACAGUCUUUUACCCUUCCCCCUAUCCUAUAAGAACUCUCGUGAAGCCCUUUUUCUUCACCAUUGGGUUCACAGGCUGUGCAUUUGGGUCAGCUGCUAUUUGGCAGUAUGAAUCACUGAAAUCCAGGGUUCAGAGUUAUUUUGAUGGCAUAAAAGCUGACUGGUUGGAUAGCAUUCGGCCACAAAAGGAGGGAAACCUCAGAAAGGAAAUUAACAAGUGGUGGAAUAGCCUAAGUGAUGGCCAGUGGACUGUGACCGGCAUCAUAGCUGCAAAUGCCCUCGUAAUCUGCUUGUGGAGAGUGCCAUCCCUGCAUCGAACCAUGACCAGAUACUUUACAUCCAACCCAGCAUCAACAAAUACGUAUGUUUUGUGGAGCUUCUCAUCUAGCAUCGUAAACAUUCUGGGUCAGGAGCAGUUUGUGGCACUGUAUAUGUCUGCAGGUGUCAUUUCCAAUUUUGUCAGUUAUGUGUGUAAAGUUGCCACAGGAAGAUAUGGACCUUCACUUGGUACAUCGGGAGCAAUCAUGACUGUGCUUGCAGCUGUCUGCACCAAGAUUCUGGAGGGAAGGCUUGCUAUCAUCUUCCUCCCUGUCUUCACCUUCACAGCCAGCAAUGCCUUAAAAGCCAUCAUUGCCAUGGAUACAGCUGGAAUGAUCCUGGGAUGGAAAUUUUUUGAUCAUGCAGCCCAUCUUGGGGGAGCUCUCUUUGGAAUAUGGUAUAUCACAUAUGGACAUGAACUCAUUUGGAAAUCAGGGAGCCUCUAG